rnacentral:rRNA from 1 species
CUCUUACGGGUGGCGAGUGGCGGACGGGUGAGGAAUACAUCGGAAUCUACUCUGUCGUGGGGGAUAACGUAGGGAAACUUACGCUAAUACCGCAUACGACUACGGGUGAAAGCAGGGGAUCUUCGGACCUUGCGCGAUUGAAUGAGCCGAUGUCGGAUUAGCUAGUUGGCGGGGUAAAGGCCCACCAAGGCGACGAUCCGUAGCUGGUCUGAGAGGAUGAUCAGCCACACUGGAACUGAGACACGGUCCAGACUCCUACGGGAGGCAGCAGUGGGGAAUAUUGGACAAUGGGCGCAAGCCUGAUCCAGCCAUACCGCGUGGGUGAAGAAGGCCUUCGGGUUGUAAAGCCCUUUUGUUGGGAAAGAAAUCCAGCCGGCUAAUACCUGGUUGGGAUGACGGUACCCAAAGAAUAAGCACCGGCUAACUUCGUGCCAGCAGCCGCGGUAAUA